UAGCAGGAAGAAAAGAUGCCCCAAGGU
rnacentral:piRNA from 1 species